GAUGAACGCUGGCGGCGUGCUUAACACAUGCAAGUCGAGCGAACAGACGCUGCUCUUGCGCCAUUCACGUUAGGGGCGGACGGGUGAGACACAGGUAGGCAACCCACCUAUAAGACUGGGACAAGGUCGGGAAAGCGGAACAAAGACCAGAUAAUAUUUUGAACCGGAUGGUUGGAUAGUGAAAUAUGGCUUGGCUAUCACUGAUAGAUAGCCUUGCGCCGGAUGAGCUAGUUGGUAGGGUAACGGCUUACCAGGGCAGCGAUGGGUGGCCGACCUGCGAGGGUGUUCGGCGACACUGGAAGUGGACCGCGGUCCUGACUCCUAGGGGAGGCCCCGGUAGCGAAUCUUGGGCACAGGGCGGAAGCCUGACGGAGCAGCGCCACGUGGGUGAAGAAGGUCUUCGGAGCGUAAAACUCUGUUAUUGGUGAAGACCACACGUGCAAGUAACUGUGCACGUCGUGACGGUACCUAGUCAGAAAGCCCCGGCUAACUACGUG
rnacentral:rRNA from 1 species